rnacentral:rRNA from 1 species
GUCACGGCUAACUACGUGCCAGCAGCCGCGGUAAUACGUAGGUGGCAAGCGUUAUCCGGAUUUAUUGGGCGUAAAGAGAGUGCAGGCGGUUUUCUAAGUCUGAUGUGAAAGACCUUCGGCUUAACCGGAGAAGUGCAUCGGAAACUAGGAUAACUUGAGUGCAGAAGAGGGUAGUGGAACUCCAUGUGUAGCGGUGGAAUGCGUAGAUAUAUGGAAGAACACCAGUGGCGAAGGCGGCUACCUGGUCUGCAACUGACGCUGAGACUCGAAAGCAUGGGUAGCGAACAGGAUUAGAUACCCUGGUAG